CUCAUGGUUGCGGUAGGCGCAGCAAAAAAUGUGCUUUGACCAGGAAAAGGAGUUCCCCAACAGUAGGACCUGUUCCAGUCUUCAAAACUGAACCAUUAUCACGGAAUCUUUUCUCCCAGUGACGCUGCACUUCACAUAAAAUACAUAUGUACAUACAUACAUACUUUCGGAUGCCGGAAUUAGGUUCGCAAAGAACUUAAUGGUUUUAAACAACUUUGCGAUAAAUUGAGUUUCAAACCGAUCAAAUCGGAAAUAAACAAGAAAGGAAGCCAACUCCGGCAAGCCGAAGUUUGUAAAAAUUAAAUACUCUUUAAAACAUCUAAAUUUCGAAUAACAUUAUAUGUUUACAUCAUUUUUGUUGGUUCUAAAACAUGUUUAAAUUAUGUCAGAUCUAGAAAAUCAAUUUAACGGUUGUCAUGGAAAUUAAAAAUAAAAUAUCCGCUGAGGAUUUGAAUAUGCUUUUUAAUGUGA